rnacentral:ncRNA from 1 species
UGAAAAACACACGGGAGUCCCGGGUACCAGCGGGGCUGAGAGUGGGCACUGCCAGAACGUGGACCUGCCCUGACCGUCACACCUGAUCCGGGUCAUGCCGGCGAAGGGAGGAGGAAAUGACCGGCCC